AUUGAACGCUGGCGGCAUGCCUUACACAUGCAAGUCGAACGGCAGCACGGGGGCAACCUUGGUGGCGAGUGGCGAACGGGUGAGUAAUGCAUCGGAACGUGCCCAGUAGUGGGGGAUAACUAGUCGAAAGAUUAGCUAAUACCGCAUACGACCUAUGGGUGAAAGCGGGGGAUUCGCAAGAACCUCGCGCUAUCGGAGCGGCCGAUGUCUGAUUAGCUAGUUGGCGGGGUAAAAGCCCACCAAGGCGACGAUCAGUAGCUGGUCUGAGAGGACGACCAGCCACACUGGGACUGAGACACGGCCCAGACUCCUACGGGAGGCGGCAGUGGGGAAUUUUGGACAAUGGGCGCAAGCCUGAUCCAGCCAUGCCGCGUGCGGGAAGAAGG
rnacentral:rRNA from 1 species